rnacentral:lncRNA from 1 species
GAGAACCAGAAGGCACUUUGCCGAGACCGAGAUUCAGCUGCAGGUCAAGCCUUUUCCUGCGUGGCUAUGUGCAAGGUUGCCAGUAAGGACAUGCCUUUCUCUUCCAGGAUUGCUAGGAUUGCAUCUUAACAAAGGUUUUUUCAGCACGUUGGAGAUAAUUGUGUGAUUUUCCUCCUUGAGUGUAUGAAUGUGGGUACAUGUGCAGAAUUUGCAAGAUAGUUGCAUCCUUGAGGAAUCGCCACACUGUCUCCCACAAUGGUUGAACCAAUUUACACUCCCACCAACAGUGUAAAAGUGAUCUUAUUUCUCCACAUCCUCUCCAGCAUCUGAUGUCUCCAGAUUUUUUAAUGAUCACCAUUCUAACUGGUAUAGGGUGGUAUCUCGAUGUGGUUUUGAUUUGCAUUUCUCUAAAGACCAGGGAUGAUGAGCAUUUUCUCAUAUGUUUGCUGGCUGCAUAAAUAUCUUCUUUCAAAAAUUGUCUGUUUAUAUCCUUUGCCCACUUUUUGAUGGGGUUGGUUUUUUGUUGUUGUUGUUUUGUUUUGUUUUUUUGUAAAUCUGUUUUAAUUCUUUAUAGAUUCUGGAUAUUAGUCCUUUGUCAGAUGGGUAGCUUGCAAAAAUUUUUUCCCCUUCUCUUGGUUGCCAGUUCACUCUAAUGAUUGUUUCUUUUGCUGUGCAGAAACUUUUCCACAGUGAAAAGCCUCUUUUAAUUUACAAAGAAUGAUUUUGAAUAUCAAAAGUUUAUGUGCUAAAGUACUUUGUAUGUGAAAUGUGUACUGUACAUUAUGGAAUUGGAAAGAAUUCAGGUUUUUGUUUUUGUUGUCGUCGUUUUGUUUUUUGCCAAAAUAAAAUAAAGGCAUCCAGCCUUUGGAGAAGAUGGCACCAUGGUUAGAUACUGUGGAAAGCCCAUUCUUAGUCAUACCCCAAAUAAGCCCGGAAGGAAGGAAGGAAGGAAGGAAGGAAGGAAGGAAGGAAGGAAGGAAGGAAGGAAGGAAUCUGAUGGAAGCAGAGAAGGAUUGAGUGUGCAAUUGAAUGCCCAGGUCCCCUCAAGAAGUAGUGGAGAGAAGGCCAAAGGACCUAGAGUAGCCUCAAAAUGGUCACAAGAAAAAUAUCAAGUACAGGGACUAUACUGAUAAGGACUAAGUCAAGAUCGGAAUAAUCUCAAUUAAUGGCAACAGAGAUGGCCACUGGGGCUCAUGUAUCUCCAGAGAAUCCAAUCUGAGGAGGUAAAAAUGAUCCUGGAUAAAGUUCUUCUUCCUGAACUUGACCUGAACUUGAUUCACCCCAAGGAUAAUGGGGAACUGGACGAAAGGGAAGAAGAAGAGCCUUUCAUUUUAUUGUUUUUACUCAUAACAUGUCUUAUUAAUCAUUAACUGCUUGAGUUUACAUGAAAAGGUUUAGAUUACUUUUUUUUUCAUCAAGCAGAUCGGGAGCUCAAAAUUACAAAGUAGAAUGAAUUGCAGAACUUUCUUAAAGUAACCUUUGUAGAAACUUGCAUAGAUAGCCUGUAUAAUUCACGACUGGUUUACACAUUUUAUUUGACAUUUCUGCAUUUUAAAAAUAUUUGACAAUGAGAAUCCUGUGUACUCAUAUAUUUCUUGUGUAUCUUUUAAUAAAUAUCUUAGUAUUGUAAAAAAUAAAAAUAAAAAAUAAAUAUUACCAGUCUAUUCACGUUGUAUUUUUUUU